rfam:Camelus ferus unplaced genomic scaffold scaffold1951, whole genome shotgun sequence.
GGAGGGUACAGCUCAAGUUGUAGAGCGCAUGCUUAGCAGGCAUGAGGCCCUGGGUUCAAUCCCCAAACCCUCCA